GGGGGUAUAGCUCAAGUAGUAGAGCACAUGCUUAGCAAGCACGAGGUCCUGGGUUCAAUCCCGAGUAUCUCCU
rnacentral:tRNA from 1 species